UCUGUUUUAGGUAUCAUGUUCCUUCUUGUGUAUAUCAAAACUCAUACCAAACAAUGAGUUCUGGAUUGCAAAAGAGGAUUUAUUUCUGCACCUGUAUGUAGUCUUU